CAGGCAGAACAGAAGCCAGACUACUUGAUGUUUCAACCUGUGUAGUCAUGUAAAACGGAGAAGGAGCGAGGUUUCCCAAGAUUCACUGAUCCUGUUUUAAAUAAACUGAUGCCGCUUAAACUGAACAAAUCUGACUUUAGGAGGCAUCUCAGGCAGCAGAUUCAAGGAACUAAAUUCUGGAUAUUUCCUGGAAAAUAAGUUCCAAGGCACUAUGUUAGAUGCUGGGAAUAGAGUGGUGAACAAAUCCGAAGUGUGCUCUGCCCUCCUGGACCAGUGGGGAAACAGUAAAG